AAAUUGAAGAGUUUGAUCAUGGCUCAGAUUGAACGCUGGCGGCAGGCCUAACACAUGCAAGUCGAACGGUAACAGGAAACAGCUUGCUGUUUCGCUGACGAGUGGCGGACGGGUGAGUAAUGUCUGGGAAACUGCCCGAUGGAGGGGGAUAACUACUGGAAACGGUAGCUAAUACCGCAUAACGUCGCAAGACCAAAGAG
rnacentral:rRNA from 1 species